AAACUAUUUUAUAACUCUAUUAUUUCACAUAACUAGCCAUUAAACAUAUACAUGGAUGAUAGACAAGUAAUAACCAGCAUAGAAAAGGAGGAACGUGAAAUACUGAAACUAAUGCCGCCUUCAAAACUGAGUUUACGGGAGGUUCGGACCUCAAGCUCGGAGGAAAAUGAUAUGAACACUCUGUUGGGUCUGAGUUUUGUACGGAAGUAAUGCUGCGUUUUAUUAUCCAUCUGUCUCGGAGGUCCGAGGACGUUGCCUAGCGACACGCACGAACACGCCCUUUUCCUCGGACGGCGACGGCGAACUCGCCAUCUCGGUUGAACUCAGUGGUGACUGAGCAAAGUUCAGAGACAGAAUUCAAGAUGGCUGCGCCCGGUGUGACUUGAAGCAUGAACUGUUUCAUUGUGCUUGAAACAAUUGUGCAUUGUGCGGUGGUUUAAAUGGCAAUUUCAAUCACUCGCAUUACUGCAAUUCCUUACUGUGUCCGUAUCUCUGCCUAUGGCCUAUGGCCUACUUAUUUUGGAGCGCCUGGUCCUCUGCCAAUGCUACUGCGACAACAGCUUUCCAGGUGGGGUCCAUGUUUUCCUCCAACGACCGAGCGAAAUAAUAAAACGCUUGAAGUGUGGGCCCUACGAACUUCUAAGGGGCGUUUCCUGAACACUCAUAUUUCGGAAGAAGGGAAGGUGUACAUAAAGUCACGUAAGAGCUUCCGAACCUCCGAGCUGUUUUGAAGGCGGCAUAAACCACUGACGUGGAUGUCUUUAUCUGACCAAAUAAAGGGUUCCUGACCUUGCGUCACCAAAAUGGCGCGUUUCCAACGAGCUGUGCGGUUAGGUGCGAUAUGGUACGGUUACGGCUCGUGUUUCCACCGUCAAUAGUAUGGUAGGGGGGGUUUUAUGCGGCCUUCAAAACAGCUCGGAGGUUCGGAAGCUUUUACGUACUUUACUUCCCGCAGGUCACUCCGAGCGAAAACUCUGACCCAACAGAGUGUUCAAAGCACCUUCCUACGAGUUUAAGGUCCAAACAUCCGAACCUCCCGGAAACUCUGACAGUUUUGAAGGCGGCAUUAGGUCGGAUGGCGAUAUCCGCGGCAGCUACGUAAGCAGCGUGACAUCCUAGCAACCCGACACAGUGUAGCCUGCUAAUGUAUUCAAUUAAAUUAAGAACGCAACACAUUAAACAAAGGGUAACAAUGUAGGAUGUCCAAGAAGGAUGGCAAUCUUUUGCGCGACAUUUUCUUCUUGUGGUCACUGUGUUUGUUUUGUUUUUAUCCCCCUGUCGCACGGAAGUGACGAUUGUGUCGACCAAUCAACCGACAGCGUGUGUAGUUCCAACUUUCGGGCACCCUUUCAGACUGCCUGGUACCCCAACAGAGGAUUACCGAAAAAUAGGAACAGCCAAGCGCGGCUCUGUGCGCUUAAUUACGGGCCCUCUUUUGGGGCCCCGCACCUAACCGUACCGCACCAGCAAAGUCAUGCCAACAGACGUUACGCCAAUGGUAAAGUAUGUGAUAUGAUGGAUUGUUUUAUAUUGAGUUAAACGUUAAUGUUCCGGCAUGUUCAUGCGCGUCACUAGUAAACCAUUGGUCACCAACUGGACAACCAUCAAUUUGGCCCGAGUGGCCGAACAGAAGUAGAAUCAUAUCAGCGUCGUGAGGCGUCGUUCACGCGAACUUUCCGACAUCGUGAAAUGUCUUCCCCAUCCUUUCCAGCGAUGUGAACCCACAAUAUCCCACUGUUGCACAAUUCUGUCGACCAAUCAACAGACGGCUUGUGUAGCUCGAACAAUAGAAACUUUGGCACUUUCAGACGUCUCAGUGGCGCUGUCACACAAAUUGUACCGGCGGUAGAAACCCGAAAAUUGUACCGCCUACGUAAUCCGCUUUCGAAACAUUCCGUCAUCGUUCGACGUGAUUGUCCGUUUUCAAGCAGGUUUCAAAAAACAUUCGCGCGCUCAAUUACAAUUAGGGCAUUUAGCAGACGCUUUUAUCCAAAGCGACUUACAUCGGUUAAUACACACAUUGACACACC
ensembl:lncRNA